rnacentral:rRNA from 1 species
CCUACGGGGGGCUGCAGUGGGGAAUAUUGGACAAUGGGGGGAACCCUGAUCCAGCCAUGCCGCGUGUGUGAAGAAGGCCCUCGGGUUGUAAAGCACUUUCAGUGAGGAAGAACGCCUGGUGGUUAAUACCCAUCAGGAAAGACAUCACUCACAGAAGAAGCACCGGCUAACUCCGUGCCAGCAGCCGCGGUAAUACGGAGGGUGCGAGCGUUAAUCGGAAUUACUGGGCGUAAAGCGCGCGUAGGUGGCUUGAUAAGCCGGUUGUGAAAGCCCCGGGCGCAACCUGGGAACGGCAUCCGGAACUGUCAAGCUAGAGUGCAGGAGAGGAAGGUAGAAUUCCCGGUGUAGCGGUGAAAUGCGUAGAGAUCGGGAGGAAUACCAGUGGCGAAGGCGGCCUUCUGGACUGACACUGACACUGAGGUGCGAAAGCGUGGGUAGCAAACAGGAUUAGAUACCCUGGUAGUC